rnacentral:lncRNA from 1 species
CUAAAGAUCAUCGUAUACACGCUUAUAGCUGCACAUGUUUGAAGUGAACAUAGUUCCUGAUGAUUUUAUAUUACAUUCAGAUGUAGCACUGACUGUAUGUGACUAGUAGGGCUUUCAAACUGCAUUUACGCAAUAAAAUAUGAUGAAGUCAGCAUCCUUUUGCUUCACAAACUAGUUGUGGGCAUAACUGUAAGGAAUGCUGUAUAAUUAGUUGUGACCAUUGUGAAUAAGGUGCUGGCUAAAGAGCUAGAAGGGAAAACAAUAUAUAAAAUUUGAACUUGAAUUGGAUUGAUUGCGCAAUAAAGUGUUCUUCUGCAUGAUGUAAUCUAGGAAUACAAUAUAAAUUAUUAUAUAAACAGUUGACUUUUAUGACAAUAUGUCAAAUGUAGAAAAACAAUGACAAUUAUCUUGAAAGUGCACUGUUUUUAUAAUUUUUCCUUUAUGGACAAGUACUGAGUACCCUCACUAUAACUUUUAAAUCAUAACAACCAAAAGAUUUUAUUUAAGGGACAUGUGGAGGGGAAAGGACAAAUUACAUAGGGACAAAGGCAAAAUGGCACUGAGUUGGGGUGUGCUAAGCAAGAUAAGGGGUGCUCCUGUCAUAUUAGAAAAAAGGAAUGGGAUAGUGACAUCAGUUGCAUGGAAGAAGUAGUGGUAUGGUGAAGGGUGUGUGAUUUGUGGGGGGGUCAGCCAAUGGCAAAGGGGUAAAAAUACCCUUCCUCAUUAAAAUAUACAUUUAUCUUCUACAUGUAAACACCUCUUAAGUCACAAACACAAAAGUCCUCUAUGUGAAUACAUCUCUUCACCCACAUAUUGACAAUACAUUUGACAUGGAAUAAUUUAUUUGUAAUUAACAGACUGGAGCACUUAUGAGAAAUUAAAAGAAAAAAAAAGGAAACAUUCUUCACUUCAUGUCGAACAGGUUGAUGUUUGGACAAUAAAAAAAACAGAACACGCCAUUGAAAUUAAAAGUGAAUAUUAGAGUCUUAGGGCUCCAGUAUCCUUUGUGUUAAUCAGUCUAUUAGUGGCGUACACAUGGGGUGGAUGCAUCUGAAGUUGUUUUUUCACUUAAAUUCGAAUAUAUCUGUUAAAAUCUGUUCUGAGGAGGGUUUAUAGGAAAUGUAACCUGUCGUUUGGUAUAUAUACACUCAUAAACACUUAUUCUCAUAACAAAAAUAUAAUUGCAAAAAAUGUAAUUCGUUAUUGGGAUAUAUUAAAGUUUACAUCUUGUUUAUGAAUUACAUGGCGGAACCUUUCCUCUCUUUCUGUAGAGAAGCAGUUUCGAAUGACUGUCUGUCAUACUUAACUGACAUCAUUAUCAAACCUCGAUACAUACUAAAAUCUGUCAAUCAGGUUAUUUCUCUCUCUGUAAUACUGUUAUGAGCUGAACAUCUUCAGUAGGCUCCAUGUUAUGCAUUGGUUAGAAAAUGUCUUCACACUUGUUUUGCUCUCUUUAUUAAAUUAUCUUGUGCAGAAGACUGUUUAGUAAAUAGGUUUAAGGAAAUAAGGCUUUAAAUACUGCUUAUUUGUUACUGCCAAGAUAUUGUGAACUCAUACAAGUUAAAGCUUUGUGAUUGUGAAAAUGGCGGGAAUAUUGACAGUCUACAUUCAUUUUGUGGAUGCAAAACAUAUUUAGUGCCUAAAAUAUUUUAGGAGAGAGGUGUUUCUAUGAACAUAAACACUAAAGGUUAAAUUGUCUGGACUCUGGAGUUUAGAGAGAAUUAAAGGUGUGUUUUAGGCUAAAAUUGCAAAACUGAAAACAUACUGAGACAGAUGUUUUUACUUUGACAAAUAAUCCUGUCUGUGACUAUGCAGUUUAAAUUGUAAAAGUUUAAAGUGCUUAUUGCCUUACGAUGAUGGGCAAUUUUUGAGCGCAAGUAACACAUAAGACUCUGGGAGCAUCUAAUUAAUUUAUAAAAUUCUGCGUAACAUAGACAAAUGUGUCAAUUAGUAACUUUACAGUUGUUAUUGGUGUGUAACACAUGUAUGCAAUGGGCCAAAAUGCUGCCGUUUUUAAACUUAGCUGCUGUUUUGCAGAUUAUUUACAACCAGCAAAAGCCAGUUUCAGAAAUGCAUUGAACAAUGAAUUUCAGUUGGUUUACAUAGAUAGGCUGUGCAAAAAUUAUGCAGUUUCAAAAGUGGGAUAAGGGAUAUUUUCAAUCUUUUCUAAUAAUCCAGAAUCAAGUACUUCAAUAAUUGCCGAUUCCAGUAUAUAUUUUUCAAUGCUAUUACUUAUGACUGUGAAAUGUAAACAACAUUGCAACUGGUUUACCAGAAAUCACACAAUGGGUUGUGAGACGUGUGCUAUUAUUUUACAAUUAGGCUUCAUGUGAAAUUUUUAUAUAACCUUUUGGUAGCAACACAGAAAUCAAAUUUAUGAAAAGUGAAAGAAUCAAAUUUUUAGAGUUUAUAAAAUGAUGCUGUUUGCUGCCUAUCUGUCCAAUGACCUUAUAAAUAUGGUUAUUUAUAAAAAAUAAAAAAAUUUAAAAAAGGCUGAUAUUCUUAAUGCAAGAUGAAUCUGCCUGAAACCAAAGUUUAAUUAAUGUUGCAUAAAAAUCGUAUUGUGGGUAUUUUCUUGCAUUAGUGUGUCAAAGCUUUGCUAUGAUAAAAUGCUUUUUGAACGUAAGGCAAAAGAAAUAGGUAUUUGCCAGGUAGACAUGUUUUAUCCUUACGCCUGUCUGCUUUUUUUCAAUGUACUGGGCACUUUUACGAAUAAGGGCAAUUUUUGGUGUAGCAGGUUUUAAUGGCUUUUUAUAUGAGGCCCUUUUUCUGGUGACUCAUAGUUUGCCCCAUGACUUGACCUCGUCUUGUAAUGCUUUGGCAGAACCUUGACAGAUGUAGUAACUGCACUUCUUUUAACCUGUCUGAAGAUAUUGUGUUCAUUUAAACUUUCAAAUGAACGUUAAGAAAAUGAUUUCUACAAAUGCACUGCUUUGUAACAUUUGGAACAUGAAUAUUACUUAAGCUUAAGCCACUGUACUUUAGAUAGGCUGAAAAACCUAUUUUUCGGCCGUAGGUAGUUACUUAUAUAUUUAUUCCUUGCCUUUGCUACUUUAGAAUUGUUAAUAAAGUAUUCUUUUCAAUUAUGAGUACAAAUGUGAAAAUAGUGUCACAGUUAUGUUCGAGAAUUUCUGUAAUGCCAAAUGUUUAAUUUAAAUAUUUUUUCUUGUCAGUACUUCUCUUUAUUCUCAAAGAAACACUUAGCUCUGCUUUUUAUUAUUUUUAUUUAAACCUUUUUUUUUCUUUACAGUAUUUAUGAAAUCGGAGUGGAAUUUAUACAGUGUAUAAACAAGUUUUUAUGUCUCCAGAAUGCUUAUGGGUAAUGAGAUAUUAAGACUUUGACCUCCCUCAGCACUAGAAGCUUCUCAAAUAUCACCUGACUUUUAUCUCUAUAAGCCACAGAGUAGUGCAUUAGACCCACAGUCUAUUAUAUAUAUACACUUGUGUUGCCGUUGUUUCUGUGAUAUAUUUUGAUAUAUUUAAGUACAAUCAUCAAAGUUCCAUCUAAUUACAGUUUGUAUUUAUUUUCCAAAUUUUUUCAUUCUAAACACUGUGUACCAUAAUAUUUCUGUAUAUAAAAUUGUACCUGUCAUGAUAUAUGCAACUUUAGUUAAUUGAAUAGCAUAUUACAUUUGUGCUAGAGAAAUUACUAGGAAAUGUACAGAUUGAUAAAAAACUUAAAAAUAGGUUCCUCUUCCAUCAAUUCUUUGGUACAGAUCACGGUGUUGAAGAAUUGACUGACAGUGAGAGCUGGAGAACCCUAAAUGAAGUGGAACUUCUAGUUGCACCUCUAGUAGCAUCUGAGGAGUGGCCACUGGAGGUAUCCCUAGGCUUUAAUGUAAACACAGCCUUUUCUCUGAAAAGACAGUGUUUAUAACAAAAAGCCUGCAGGGACAUACUAUACUCACCAGAACAACUACAUUUAGCUGUAGUUGUUCUGGUGACUAUAGUGUCUCUUUAAAGUUAAUCAUGAGGUUCACCUUUAUAAAAUAUAUACUUCUCUAUAUGGCCAUUAUCUUUUUGUUGAAACAUAGUAUAUUUGUUGAAACAUAGUUCUGUUUUACACAAUUUCCAUUUUUAUGUUAAUUACAUUGUGAAAUUAAUUUUGAAAAGGUUUCCAACUAAAAGAUUGUUCAUUUUAUAUACAUUAAAACUGUUAUAAGGUUUAAGUAGUUU